rnacentral:rRNA from 1 species
CAACGCCGCGUGCAGGAAGACGGCCUUCGGGUUGUAAACUGCUUUUUCUGGGGGAAGAGCAGGGACAGUACCCCAGGAAGAAGCCCCGGCUAACUACGUGC